rnacentral:rRNA from 1 species
GUAACGCGUGGGAACGGUACCUUUGGUUCGGAACAACACAGGGAAACUUGUGCUAAUACCGGAUAAGCCUACGGGAAGAUUAUCGCCGAAAGAUCGGCCCGCGUCUGAUUAGCUAGUUGGUGAGGUAAUGGCUCACCAAGGCGACGAUCAGUAGCUGGUCUGAGAGGAUGAUCAGCCACAUUGGGACUGAGACACGGCCCAA